CAGCGUAGAUCACAACUGACAUAUAUACAUAAACUAGGUUACAAAGUUGUAAACUUUAUUCUUUUACUGACUUUAGACGUCUUUACGUCUCAUUUAGAGGUUGGUAACAGUGCUGCUGAAGUGAAUGGACCACUAAACAUGUAUUAAGCAAACCAGCCAUUUUCCCCAUGCCAUCUUGCCCUUGAUAGCAGUGAGGAGUUGAAGUUAAAUGCAUGUAUCUGUCUCUUCCAUAACAUUUUCGGUCUAAAUGUCUGUAGAUGUGUUGAAGAAUUAACAGCACUAGACUUCAGUAGUUUGCUUUGUGAAAGGUGCAGAAAAAACAAGCUGAUUUACUCAAAAUGACAAAACUGGAUACUUGGAAGCAUGAAAAUGUUGAAUCAAUCAUUACAUUAAUGUUUACUGCACG